AGAGUUUGAUCCUGGCUCAGGACGAACGCUGGCGGCACGCCUAACACAUGCAAGUCGAACGGAGUGAAGAUGCUCGCAUCUGAACUUAGUGGCGGACGGGUGAGUAACACGUGAGCAACCUGCCUUUCAGAGGGGGAUAACGUUUGGAAACGAACGCUAAUACCGCAUAAAAUAUCGGAGUCGCAUGGCACUGAUAUCAAAGGAGCAAUCCGCUGAAAGAUGGGCUCGCGUCCGAUUAGGCAGUUGGCGGGGUAACGGCCCACCAAACCGACAAUCGGUAGCCGGACUGAGAGGUUGAACGGCCACAUUGGGACUGAGACACGGCCCAGACUCCUACGGGAGGCAGCAGUGGGGGAUAUUGCACAAUGGGGGAAACCCUGAUGCAGCGAUGCCGCGUGAAUGAAGACGGCCUUCGGGUUGUAAAGUUCUGUCGCAGGGGACGAAAAUGACGGUACCCUGCAAGAAAGCUCCGGCUAACUACGUGCCAGCAGCCGCGGU
rnacentral:rRNA from 1 species